UAACGCGUAUGCAACUUACCUAUCAGAGGGGGAUAGCCCGGCGAAAGUCGGAUUAAUACCCCAUAAAACAGGGGUCCCGCAUGGGAAUAUUUGUUAAAGAUUCAUCGCUGAUAGAUAGGCAUGCGUUCCAUUAGGCAGUUGGCGGGGUAACGGCCCACCAAACCGACGAUGGAUAGGGGUUCUGAGAGGAAGGUCCCCCACAUUGGUACUGAGACACGGACCAAACUCCUACGGGAGGCAGCAGUGAGGAAUAUUGGUCAAUGGCCGAGAGGCUGAACCAGCCAAGUCGCGUGAAGGAAGAAGGAUCUAUGGUUUGUAAACUUCUUUUAUAGGGGAAUAAAGUGGAGGACGUGUCCUUUUUUGUAUGUACCCUAUGAAUAAGCAUCGGCUAACUCCGUGCCAGCAGCCGCGGUAAUACGGAGGAUGCGAGCGUUAUCCGGAUUUAUCGGGUUUAAAGGGUGCGUAGGUGGUGAUUUAAGUCAGCGGUGAAAGUUUGUGGCUCAACCAUAAAAUUGCCGUUGAAACUGGGUUACUUGAGUGUGUUUGAGGUAGGCGGAAUGCGUGGUGUAGCGGUGAAAUGCAUAGAUAUCACGCAGAACUCCGAUUGCGAAGGCAGCUUACUAAACCAUAACUGACACUGAAGCACGAAAGCGUGGGGAUCAAACAGGAUUAGAUACCCUGGUAGUCCACGCAGUAAACGAUGAUUACUAGGAGU
rnacentral:rRNA from 1 species